rnacentral:tRNA from 1 species
GCGGGCAUAGCUCAGUGGUAGAGCUCAUGCUUAGCAUGCACAAGGUCCUGGGUUCAAUCCCCAGUACCUCCA